rnacentral:rRNA from 1 species
CAGCAGUGGGGAAUUUUCCGCAAUGGGCGAAAGCCUGACGGAGCAACGCCGCGUGAGGGAUGAAGGCCUCUGGGCUGUAAACCUCUUUUCUCAAGGAAGAAGAUCUGACGGUACUUGAGGAAUAAGCCACGGCUAAUUCCGUGCCAGCAGCCGCGGUAAUACGGGAGUGGCAAGCGUUAUCCGGAAUUAUUGGGCGUAAAGCGUCCGCAGGCGGCCUUGUAAGUCUGUCGUUAAAGCGUGGAGCUUAACUCCAUUUCAGCGGUGGAAACUACAAGGCUUGAGUGUGGUAGGGGCAGAGGGAAUUCCCGGUGUAGCGGUGAAAUGCGUAGAUAUCGGGAAGAACACCAGUGGCGAAGGCGCUCUGCUGGGCCAUAACUGACGCUCAUGGACGAAAGCCAGGGGAGCGAAAGGGAUUAGA